rnacentral:rRNA from 1 species
CCUACGGGUGGCAGCAGUGGGGGAUAUUGCACAAUGGGGGAAACCCUGAUGCAGCGACGCCGCGUGAGCGAUGAAGUAUUUCGGUAUGUAAAGCUCUAUCAGCAGGGAAGAAAAUGACGGUACCUGACUAAGAAGCCCCGGCUAACUACGUGCCAGCAGCCGCGGUAAUACGUAGGGGGCAAGCGUUAUCCGGAUUUACUGGGUGUAAAGGGAGCGUAGACGGCAGUGCAAGUCUGAAGUGAAAGGCAAGGGCUCAACCCUUGGACUGCUUUGGAAACUGUGCUGCUGGAGUGUCGGAGAGGCAAGUGGAAUUCCUGGUGUAGCGGUGAAAUGCGUAGAGAUCGGGAGGAACACCAGUGGCGAAGGCGGCCUACUGGGCUUUAACUGACGCUGAGGCACGAAAGCGUGGGUAGCAAACAGGAUUAGAUACCCGGGUAGUC